AUGGAUGCAGACAUACAAGUGAACAGAAACACAGAACCAAUACAGUGCAGAGACCUCUGGUUGACUGUGCUGUGGGACUCUGGACUCAACCGAACGCAUUUCCUCCUGAUUAACGUGAUGCCUGUCAGCUCGCUGAGACAUUCCCCUACGACCCCUCUAGACCGGACCCCCUCUUCUGCUACUCCUAAUAGACGUGAAACGCUCCAGUCAAUAAUUUUUUCUACUUGUCUUCAUCCCUCUCUCUCUCUGUGUCUCUCCUUCUCAGAUUGCUGCAUGUCAGGAGGAGGUUCACAUCAGAAAGUUCAGCCAAAUGUUAUCUAGCACAGGGAGGUUUCAAAUGGGAGGCCUAUUGCUCCCCCUCUUCUAACUUCUAGUUUCUGACUCCCUCUCUCACUCUCUCCCUUGUGUCUCUCGCCCAAUCUCCCUGCCCCCCCGCGGCUGCCUUUCAGACUCGCAGCCAAUAAGUGUCUGUGAUAACAUCAACAGCUGUCAAAGACCCAGGCAACUGCACUUGUCUCAUAAACCCAAACACCUGUACUCUCUCAUUCUUUUGAUUGUUAUCCCUCAUACACACGCACACACACUGCUCUGCUCUCUAUCACUCACGUUGGUUUGAUUUGCCUGUCAGAAAGAAGGGGAUGUGCCAAGAUCUGUGGAGCCGUGUGAAGGGGUGUGUGUGGGUGUAUUCCAGGACGGGAGGGGGGAAAUUUAUAAACUGAGCGAGAGAGAUGAGAAGGAGAAAAAAGAGAGGGAGAAAGGCAGAGAGUGUCUCUUCAAAAGUUUGGCACAGUUUGAAAGGCAGAACUGGGGGCUUAUGGGGAGGAUGUCACAACAAACUAUAUACUAAGUCACCCCUUUUUUCACUUCUCUACCUCAUUCUCUUGUUUAAUUUAAAUGAGAAAGUGUGUUUCAACAUAUGUUUGUAUUUAAAUGCCAGUCUCAUCAGCACCUUUUGCCUCAUGUGCACCCACCACCUGUCAGCCUCCAGAUGCGUGUCUUUUCCUGGCCUACAACGCUCUUCCUUGGGCACCCUGGCUACAUAAUCCACCUCUCCCUAAAGGCAUUGGCUCCCGUCACGGCUGCUGUCAUGCUGGGCUGCUAUAUCCAUCAUUUAGUCAAUGAGAAGUAAUGACAGUGUAGAGCAAAACAACAGCAGUCUGUCUGCGUGUUUCUGUUUGAAGGGAAACACACCAGGUUGCUAUGAGACGCGGCCCCAUUGGAGCAGGAGCGAGGCCGCAGACGAAGAGGCAUUUUGGGAUUUGAGACUGAUUUGGUGUUUAUGAUCAGGUGCUGACUGGAAACGAACAGGCUGCUUCUCUGGUGUUUUUGAUGUUGUAAAUGUUCUCUGGGAUAUGACUAUUCAUGAGCUUGGGAGAAAAGGGGCAGGGUUUUUGGAGAGAGGGGCUGUUGUGGAGACAGGAAGUUCUCAAUCAAAGCCGAGAGGAAGCAUGUUGUCUGUGAGUGUGUGAGCGAGAAAGCAGAGAGAAGGAGUGAGCGAGAGUAAUGAGAAAGUGUUUGUCGAGGGUGAGCUGUUCAUUAUUCUGAUUUAUGUGUCAGACACAUUAAUGGUGGAAUGGCACGCAGUCGUUCUCCUCCUCCGCCAUCGCAAGCUACUGAUGGCCAGAGAGACAGAGAGCUGCUACUCACACUCAGUCUUCCUCUGGUUGAGUGUGCGAUUAUCUGUGAUCAUGCAGGAUUCAGCAUGUGUUAAGGUUUAACCCAUGACUAAUCGCAUUGCCUGUGCUGUAUCACGGCUGUGUUCUGAGAACACUGACCCUCCAGCCUUAGACUCCAUAAAGACCACACAGCAUAGUCUACUCGUUCUAAUAGAAUUCCUGCAGCUCAUGUGCUAGCAACAGUCAUGAGUUCGAUUCCUAUAGGAACUAGGGAAUGCUUGAGCUGAUCAGAGUCUGUGGAUAAAAGCAUCUGCCUAAAACAUUACAGACAUUUACAAUGUUACAUUUACGAUGUUACAAAAAAUGCUGUUCCUUUAAAAUUUCUAAUUGAUUACAGAAUCCUAAAAAAAAUCAUGACAGUUUUCUUUCAUGAAUUUGAUUAUGCUAUUAAAAUUUGACAUGAUAUUAAAAUAUAAUUUUAAGAAUUCUGAAACAAACCUAAAAAUUUGAAAAUUGUCCAGCAUGUAUGAAAGCCAUCGUUCAUGCUAGUUAACUGCAUGUUAUGGUGCUUCGGUUCCCCAGAACACAUCUCAUCUAGCCGAUCAUGGAUGUUUUAUGACAACUGGCUGCCACAUCUUGCUGGCACUGGAGAAAAUGUGAGAAAAUGAAAUUCCAUGACUGAAGUGUCACAAUAAAACAUCUAGUGGAAUAAGCAAUUUAUAUCUUAACACAUAGUUCACAUUGUUUAAGGCACAACGUAUGUAUGUCAGCAGUGACAUAAAAUAUGGUUUUAAUACACCAUUACAGACAAAGGAGGGGGCAGAAGAGGAAAUAUUCCUGCUACUUUUUUCUGUUCAUACUCAAUAGGUUUUGCUAUUUUUAUUACCAAAAAAAGAUGAAAUGAGUCUUGUUUAAGAUACUCUUUUCUUUUUUUUCUCCUUUUUUUCUCCUAGCCAUGCCAAGAACAAACAAAUGGCAGCGAAAUGUAUGACACAUAAACACAAACCCAAACUUGGAAGUAUUUGACCUUUUCCUUCUCCCUGAUCCUAGCUUCAACAUGAAAGAGCAAAAACAAGCUCUUCCGCCCAUGAAGGUUGGGCUCGAGAUUGACAGUUGUUGUCUGACAGAAGCUUGUUCAUUUUAACCUCUUAAAAUGAGAGACUGAAAGCUAUGUCUUUGUGUUUUAUGUGCAAUAAACAGGAAAUUUUGGAUGUGUUUCCUCUUUAGCAUAAAGUCAUUACUGCCAACACUGAAGAACACAUAAGGACGGAAUGGUAAUUAAAUAUGCAAAGACAAUUGUUUUAAUUUAAUUCAUGCUCAAUAGGAGCAAGUUAGCCAAAGGUCCAGGCCUGUGUCUCCCUGGGGAUUUGUAAGAACCCAUCAUGGGCACCCAGCAUGGCUAUGCUCUUCUCCGCUGUGUGUCUUUGUGCCUAUGGAACAAAGUGAAAUGCCUGACAUGUUUUUUUCUUCUUCUCCGGUUCACUUGUUCUACUCCCUUUGUUAAAUCUCAAGUUCAGGGAACAGAGGCCUAAGGGUAGAGAUAGAGGCAGUGCACUGUAAACAUUUGGUAAUUAGGAGCCCGGAAUAUCUGCUAUCAUUGCACUUUUUAUUCCGCAAAUAGUUAGGUAAAAGGGGGUGUUGUCUCUCUCUCAGGUUUUUUUUUUUCUUUUUUUUUCUUUUCUCACAACUUUUCUCACAUCAGCCACUCUGUUGUAACAUUUGCAAUACGUAAGGUUGAUCAUCCUGUGACUGAGGCCCUUGGCAUUGUUAAUGUUCAUUAAAAGCAGUUUGCUGUAGUUAUGCCCUGCUGACUAGGAUGAAGUGCACCACAGCACCACCUCAGGGCUAAUUAGACAGCACCACCCCAUUCUUAAAGGGAAAAAUUACCUAAAAAU
ensembl:lncRNA